rnacentral:rRNA from 1 species
UUGAUCUCAAAUCAGGUAGGACUACCCGCUGAACUUAAGCAUAUCAAUAAGCGGAGGAAAAGAAACUACCAAGGAUUCCCCUAGUAACUGCGAGUGAAGCGGGAAGAGCUCAAAUUUAAAAUCUGGCGUGCCUCUGGUCGUCCGAGUUGUAGUCUGGAGAA